AGAAGGCGGAAGCAGACGAGGCGGAAGUGGAGGGGCGGGGAGAGAAACCGGUCGUCAUUGUGGGACGCUGAUUGACACUGUAUUAUUCUGCCCAGAAGAGCUGCAGAAAUAAGAAACCAAAGAGGAGGAGCAACUGGAGUUGCUUCUGGAGUGAGAGAAUUGACCGUCUGCAAGGACGUUGCCCAGGGGACGCCCGGAUGUUUUGAUGUUUUACCAUCCUUGUGGGAGGCUUCUCUCAUGUCCCUGCAUGGAGCUGGAGCUAAUAGAGGGAGCUCAUCCGCGCUCUCCCCGGGUGGGAUUCGAACCUGGCAGCUUUCAGGUCAGCAACCCAACCUUCCAAGUCGCAAGGCCACCGGAGGCUCCUAUUUUUGAGGUGAAAAGUGUAUGACUUGACCAAGUCCACCCAGUGGGUUUUCAUAGCCGAGCAGGGAUUUAGACCCUCAAACAAUUAUAGUCCAACAUUAACUCGUAAAAGAUGUUUCAACUUAAUUAGUGUAAUAAAAGGAUUACGCUUCCAGUUGUUUGUUUUAGGCUAUGUUCAAUAAUCAUUUAUUGAACAUGUCAACAAGUCUAUCUUUGUAAAGGUAAACAGAGAUUAAGGUACAUAUAUAUCCUCCUUUUCCCAUGCAUAUUCUCUUUUUCAGAGUUAAAAUUUCUGUCUGAGCAGUUUUUAAAAAUUGUCCAGGAAUUUUUACAAUGUCCACUGCUGCUUUGCAUCCUGCCAGCCACUACUCUCUUCUCUUCACCGUUGCAUCGUUGCAUCGUUCUCUGUAGCUUCAUUGACUACUAAACUAAGAAAAGGGUUGAAAGAUGGUCCAUCUGUCCAAAGAGGCAGAAAAGUGGGGAAAAGCUAUUUUUUGGUUAUAAAUAAAGAUUGGUAAUAUUUUUUGUAGCAAUCAUCACAGCUUAUCUUGUUGAGGAUCCCAUACAUGGAAUUCUGAAAUCAGAAAUACUCCACAAUUCAAUAUUGUCCAUGUUGGUGGCCAAGUUAGUGUCACUUUUGUUUUCUGAUGGCAAAAUACACAAAUCUUGCUUUAUUCACAUUAUUUAAAAUAAAGUUUACGUGUUUAAAGUGUGCAUACAACAUAAAUGUAUUUUGUACUUAAGACUUGGGUUCCAUCUCCAAGAUGGAUGUAUAUGCAAAAUUUAAAAAGUCCAAAACAUUUCUGGUCCCAAGCAUUUAGGAUAAGGGAUACUCAAUCCAAAUUUAAAGUGAGACUCAUUAUAGUGCUGGGUAUGAAGCAAUCUGUGAAUGUGUCCUUAAGGUGACACCUUAUUGAAUAUACAGUUCAUCUGCAGGAACAAGGCAUCAGAUAUUCUUUAGACAAUACUAUGCAGUGACUGUUUUUGUAGAGGUACAGAGAAAACACUGAUAUAAUAUAACCUGGUAGCAAAAAAAAAAAAUCUGAGGAGCCUCGGCUGGGCUGAUAGGGUAUAACAUCUGGGAAUUUGAACUAAAGUAUGCUACAUCCUUGUUUAUAUUGCAGAGAGACCAUUAAUUUCCAUGGCUCCCCCUUCCAAGCAAAACUAAAUUCUAUAGUAUUGCGAUCUUACUGCUGCUUAUGAAGGUAGUUUGGAUAAAUAACUUGUUUUGUAAUAUUUUUAAUCACUAGAUAAUGCAACCUUUAUCAAGAUACCAGGUCUUGACCUAAUACUUGUUGAGACUGAUGUAUGUACAAUACAUUUUCAUUAAAUAUGAAAUACUUCUCAUAUUUUUUGCUGUUUAAUGCUGAAACAUUAUGUUUAUUAACAAAAUAUACAUUGAUGUAACUAAUAAAAUAUAGUUAUGCAAUAGCUGUUAAAUAAAUUGUUAUAAUGUAACAAA